UGUACUUGUCCCUUUAUCCCAUGACUGCUAAGUUUCCUCAAGAGUCGUUGAUGAGGAACUUUGUCAAAAGCUUUUUGGAAGUCCAGGUAUAGUUGGAAGACUACUCUUCUUGAGUUGCAAGACUACUCUGUGAAGAGCAGACACAUCUAGGGGAGACUUCUGCUAAAUUGCUGCUUCCGUGAUACAGCUACAACAUCAAUAACCAGAACAACAACAGCUCUUCCGUUGGUCAAUUAAGUUUGCUACAUGGAUAUUAAUGUAAAUAUGGCUCUUUGUAAAUACAUUUUUGUUGACUAA